UACGGGAGGAGCAGUGGGGAAUAUUGCACAAUGGGCGCAAGCCUGAUGCAGCCAUGCCGCGUGUAUGAAGAAGGCCUUCGGGUUGUAAAGUACUUUCAGUCGUGAGGAAGGUGUUAAGGUUAAUAACCUUAGCAAUUGACGUUAGCGACAGAAGAAGCACCGGCUAACUCCGUGCCAGCAGCCGCGGUAAUACGGAGGGUGCGAGCGUUAAUCGGAAUUACUGGGCGUAAAGGGCACGCAGGCGGUUAAUUAAGUUGGAUGUGAAAUCCCCGGGCUUAACCUGGGAAUGGCAUUCAAGACUGGUUAGCUAGAGUCUUGUAGAGGGGGUAGAAUUCCAUGUGUAGCGGUGAAAUGCGUAGAGAUGUGGAGGAAUACCGGUGGCGAAGGCGGCCCCUGGACAAAGACUGACGCUCAUGUGCGAAAGCGUGGGGAGCAAACAGGGAUUAGAUACCCGU
rnacentral:rRNA from 1 species